AUUGAACGCUGGCGGCAUGCUUUACACAUGCAAGUCGAGCGGUAACAGGUCUUCGGAUGCUGACGAGUGGCGAACGGGUGAGUAAUACAUCGGAACGUGCCUAGUAGUGGGGGAUAACUACUCGAAAGAGUAGCUAAUACCGCAUGAGAUCUACGGAUGAAAGCAGGGGACCUUCGGGCCUUGUGCUACUAGAGCGGCUGAUGGCAGAUUAGGUAGUUGGUGGGGUAAAGGCUUACCAAGCCUGCGAUCUGUAGCUGGUCUGAGAGGACGACCAGCCACACUGGGACUGAGACACGGCCCAGACUCCUACGGGAGGCAGCAGUGGGGAAUUUUGGACAAUGGGCGAAAGCCUGAUCCAGCAAUGCCGCGUGCAGGAUGAAGGCCCUCGGGUUGUAAACUGCUUUUGUACGGAACGAAAAGCCUGGGGCUAAUAUCCCCGGGUCAUGACGGUACCGUAAGAAUAAGCACCGGCUAACUACGUG
rnacentral:rRNA from 1 species